rnacentral:lncRNA from 1 species
UGGAGUAUUGUUUAUGGGAAUCUGGUAUAACGCAUAAGAUCAUUAUGAUUUGCAAAAAGAUACAAAAAAAAACUUACUAUAUAAGAAAGUCGUUUUGGUCCUCUAGAAGGUCAUCACAUAACCAACACAAUCAUGAGUAGUCCACAUAUCUUUCUUUAGAACACGUUCAAUCGCAUCUUUUAGCCCCGUUUCGGAGUUGAAACCCCUCAAGUCUAUGUGGAAGAUCAAGGCCAAUAUCAUUCAACUAAGAAAGAAAUACUUAGCGUCUGGUGGUCUUACCAUUGAGAUGGUUCUCAUCGACCCAAACGUGAGUUAUAUGCUGUGAAAUGUAACUAUGAUUACGUGUUCUAUUUUACCGAGAAUGAUUUGGAAUUGAAGAUGAGUUUGUUGUUUAACCUAAUCAAUUGUUGAAAAAAAAAACAAAGAACAUGGGCUUCAGUUUAAAAAAGCCACAAUUAGAUUUGUAAACAAAAUAGGCAUUU